rnacentral:rRNA from 1 species
AUGGCUAGACUUGAAGCCAUACGCUUACUGCUGGCCUAUGCAAAUCAUCACAACAUACUUCUUUAUCAAAUGGAUGUGAAGAGCGCCUUCCUCAAUGGCAAGAUUGAAGAAGAAGUGUAUGUUGCACAACCUCCUGGCUUUGAAGAUCCAAAACAUCCUGACAUGGUAUACAAGCUCAACAAGGCACUGUAUGGCCUCAAACAAGCCCCUCGGGCCUGGUAUGACACACUCAAAUACUUCCUGAAGAGCAAAGGCUUCAUACCUGGUUCUCUCGACCCCACUCUCUUCACGAAGACAUAUGAUGGUGAUGUUGGGGAACGUAGUAAUUUCAAAAAAUUUCCUACGCACACGCAAGAUCAUGUGAUGCAUAGCAACGAGGGGGAGAGUAUUGUCUACGUACCCAACGCAGACCGACUGCGGAAGCGAUGA